GAGGAUAUAGCUCAAGUGGUAGAGCACAUGCUUAGCAUGCAUGGGGUCCUAGGUUCGAUCCUCAGGACCUCC
rnacentral:tRNA from 1 species